rnacentral:rRNA from 1 species
GACAGAGGGUGCAAACGUUGUUCGGAAUUACUGGGCGUAAAGCGCGUGUAGGCGGCUCGGCAAGUCGGGUGUGAAAGCCCUGGGCUUAACCUAGGAAGUGCACUCGAAACUGCCAAGCUUGAGUUCUGGAGAGGAAGGCGGAAUUCUCGGUGUAGAGGUGAAAUUCGUAGAUAUCGAGAGGAACACCGGUGGCGAAGGCGGCCAACUGGACAGAUACUGACGCUGAGACACGAAAGCGUGGGGAGCAAACAGG